GGGGGCGUGGCGGAAUUGGCAUACGCAGGAGACUUAAAAUCUCUCGCCGCGAGGAUUGUGGGUUCGAGUCCCACCGCCCCUACCA
rnacentral:tRNA from 4 species